GUUUUUUACCAGAUAAGCUUUUUAAAAAAUUAUGUUCAACAAUUAUCUUUUUAUUGUAGUUAAGUUUUUCAAAUUCUUGCUGUUUUCAAUAUCUCCUGGUUUCAUCAUCCCUACUGAGAAAUUACGUAUACAAUCUUAUAAUUAAUUGUUUGCUUUGGUCUUCUUUUAUUUUCCUGCUUUAUGAUAAAAUUUUCAUUAGCCUAAAUGUGUUAUUAAUUUUUCUUGUUUCUUAAAUAUUUGUUCAAUAUUAUAUUCACAACUUUAAGUUCAAAGGAUCAGUUUUCUGAACAGAUCUUCAUACACUAUAAAUUCCUUGUUGUAUGACCAUCUCUAAUAAUUUUAUUUUUAAUUUUUAGGUAAUGCCUGAUUAUAAUUUAAAUAAGGACGUUGACAAAAAUUAAUGAACCAUUUGCACAAAAAAUAUUUGAAUCAACAUUUAUUCACUCCUGGAAGAUAUUAAAUAUUUCAACAGAAUAUUCCAAUGGAUGGAACUUUUUCCAGCAUCUGGAUUAUUUUCCAGGUUAGACACAUGUUUGUCCACAGACUUGUCUUCUCUGAAUGAAAUCCAAAAGUUGUUUUUACUCCUAGAACCCUCAAAGCCUCUCUGUUUUUUGUCUAUCUAUUUUGCUCACUGUUGUUGAAUCUAUAUUCUUCAAAUGUGCCUUUACCAAGUCUCCAAAAUCACUGUGAGUAUAUGAUUCUCUGGGUAUGAGGUUGUGUAGUCAUGUCAAAUUAAAAUUUAAUAUUCCACAUACAGUCUGCACAGACAAAUAUAAGAAAUUUUGUAAUAACAUUUGUCUUGGUUAGUGUUGAUAGCUGAAUGCGAUUUCUUAUUCUACUGUGGAUCAAUAGAUCAAGAUUCCUUCAGAGAGGAAAGGCAAGUACCCAAAGGUUUUCUUCUAAUGACUGAAACACGUGGUCAGAAGACACACUAUUAACACUCGUCCUAAUAAUUUUUCAGCUAAAGAGUUGGGAAUGUAAGGAAAGGAAAUGGCUAGACUAUUCAAGAUUCUACUGGCAGAUUAUUUGUGAUGGUUGGUCUCUUUUUGCCUCCUAGAACAUUCAAGAGUACUUCAAGAUGCAAAGGAAAGAAGAGUUAAGAAAAGAAGGCCUUUCAUAACAUAUUGUUCCACAGGGGCUCUGAGCCCCACCAGGACAAAGUUUUCACAGUUGCUAGAGUUAACAAGACACGAAACCUACUAGGAAAAGACCUGACUUCUAUUUGCCAUGAUGGAAAACUCCCCACAGUAAUUCUGGAAUGUUUUAUGUUACUAUCUGCCUUAUGGACAAGAUCCUGCUUCUUAAAUGAACCCUAAUCUCUUCAAUUCCAUCAGCAUGAAGAGAAACAAUUGUGCAUCAAAUCAUUGGCUAUACAAUAAGGAUAUGCUGUCUCUCAACAAAGAAAAUGGAACCAAAACUGAGGGUAUAUUGGCAAUAUCACUAAACAUAGCAUCAUGUCAAACAAUAAAGAAGUUGGAUUGUGAAAAAGAUGUAAACAUAAAAACAAUCCAUCUGUGCAUAUGGUAGCAUGUAUCUUAAAGGAAUUACUUCAAAUUAUCAAAGGAAAUUUGCUGACAUCUAGACUAUAUGAAGAAUGACUUGGGGUACAUGACCAGGUCAAUGAAGAAGAGAAAGUAGCCACUGUGCAGAGUCCUUAUUUCAAAUACCUCCCACCAGGACCAAAUGUGUAUGGUCUUGUCUAUUGAUAAGACAGAAAACCUACUUGAAAAAGAGCUGACAACAAUUUGUGAUGAUCGAAAUCUGCCCACAGAAAUUCUGGAUAUGCUGUUCUUCAUCCAAGAAAAGGGGCCCCAAAUUCAGGAUAUAUCCAUAAUUUCACACAACAUAGCAUCAUGAAGAAGUUGGAUUGUGAAGAAGAUGUAAACAUAAAAAAAUAAUCCAUCUGUGUAUAUGGUAGCAUGUAUCUUAAAGGUAAGGAAAGUCCUUGCAUCAUACACCCUCAGGAUUCUUCUCAAUCUAUUUGAGUAGUUUCCUUCAUUAUGCAUUCCCUUGAGUGGUAGUAGAUAACAUAUAAGAGAAAUCUGAUAAAAAAGCAAAAACAAAAACAAAAAGCUGUCAUAAUGAGCAGUAAUGUAACUAAGUAUCUUUCAUUUGAUUCUUCCACAAGUAUAUGGAGAGUCACUUCAUACAUGCAUAUGAGUUUCACCUGAUAUGCAUGCCUCCUCAGAUGCAUUUGUCUAAGAGUGUUCUUAAGGGUGUCACUCUCCUUUUUUUCUGAGAGGCAGGUUUCUCUUCCUAGGUAUAGAGCACGUGACUCCUUCAUGUAUAUCUUUGCUGUACAUACCCAGUAGAAUCUCUUGGUCUGCUUGUCCCUCUCACUCACAAAAUAUUGGUAUCCAAAUGAAGGUUCACAUGGCUAUGUAACACGUAUUCUUAAGUACUGGGCCAUUCCUUCAGCACCAUAAUUUUAUUGUUAUAUUUAAAAAUUAAAAUCAUUUCACUCCUCCCUAUUCCUUGCUCUAAUGUUGUUUCCCUUCAAUCUCCCACUUCUGAUAAAAUACAUUUUCUUUAACUGUUAUUUUGUAGAUACAAAUAAAUCCAUAAAUAUGUUCAAAUAACCUGAUGAGUCCAUUAUCCUUGUUAGUAUCUGUACUAUUUCCAAAGGAACCAACUGUGAUUGGCUUACAAAUUAGGGGGUUCAUUUUUGAGAAAGACCAAUUUCCUCACUCUUCAUAGUAUUUAUUUGCAUGUAGUUCCUUAUCUAAAAGUUUGACUUCAUGAGAUUUCCUCAUUUUGAUUUAGUGUUACUAACUUGGAUAAUGUUUUGUUUAGAACUUGCUUAAACAACCAGACUGUGGGACUAACAAAAGUGAAGCUUCUCCUGCAUUUCUCUGAGGCCCAAUCCCAAAGCAGAUAUCCUGAUCCUCUGGAAUUACUUCAAAUCACUUAAGAAAGUCUGCUGACAUCUCGACUAUAUGAAGAAUGACUUGGAGUACCAGACCAAGUCAAUGAAGAAGAGAAAGUAGCCACUGUGCAGAGUCUUUUAGAAAACUACUGCACUCACAUGUUACUCUUCUAAGACAACGUUUCAAAUUAUUAUAUUAAGUUGAGAGGAAUUCUUCUGUGAACCAGAUGACAGCUUAUGAUUUAUCUGUUGUGCCAAGUAUCCUAUAUCUGCCUAGUUCCCACAAUAAACGAUUAGCAAAUGAUAUUGCCAAAAAGAUUUCUCUUAUAAACUUUCCAAUUGAAAACUCCCUGAAAUUAUUUGAAGAAGACUCAGUUUUAGUUUAUUAUGAGACCUCAUUAUUUCACCCUUAUGGAGUGGACUCUGAUUCCCAGAAUAAUCUUUCUAAUCCAGGAUAUAUUAGCUAUCAUUGCUGAAAAGGGACAAAAGUCAUAUAAAAUACUAAGAACACUAUCAGUUGAAUCACACUGGUACACGAGGGAUAAAAUUGAUGCUGAAUAAGAAGAGGUGAAUUGGAGUCAAGAAUCAGUCCUUGUUAUAGUAUCUGCUUUAUAGGGGGAUUUCAUUCUAAAUAUAUAAAGAAACUUGCUUUCUACAGAUUUAUGUAAUUUAUUUGGUGUCUCUGAUCAAGAAAUUUGAUCAAAAGAUUCUGCUAUCCAAAGAUAAUGAUACAGUAAAUUCUUCGGGAACCAUACAAAGAUAGAAGAAAUGCAUUUUUAAAGUUUUCUACCACAGAUGCCACAACAAAACUUCAUCCUACUAAAACACCUUAUUCAUGUGUUAUUAAAGAUUAAAAUUUCUCCCAUGAAGACUUAGACUCUUAACAGUUUAUCUGUUCACAUAACCCCUAUAUUCCAUGGCAUUCUACUUCCAGCAACUCGUUAUUUGGGAAUGACCUUUCCAAAAAGAUUUCUAUUGAAGAAAUUCUAACUGAAAACUAGCUCUAGAUAUUUGGAGAUGACGAUCAUACAUUUUAUAAAGAUAUUCCAAAAAGGUCUGAUGACAUAAAAAUGUCUUCAGGUUCACUAAAUACUGUUGAUAGAGCAUGUGCUAUGAAAGAUGCCAUAAGUGACCCCCCUGAGAAAACCUUCUUUAAUGCUAAUGCUGAAAAAUUAAAGAUUCCAUUUGCUGCCCCUCAGAAGGAAGGUCCUACAGAGAGCAGGGCACAACAAACAGCUUCUAUAUGUUCCGUGUUUAACAGUGGAAUCAAUGGCAGAGGAUGACUGAAGAUGCUUACAGCUCAUUCUACUUCAAAGUUCCUUUCCACCUCCCAUUCAACAAUAGAAGAAUAUAUCAUUACAAGACACUGCAGCUUUUAUAUUUUACAUUAUUGUUACAAAGAGUUGUCACUGAUCAUUUUGACUUUAUGCUAUAUAUUACACAUUCUUUAUUAUUAUAAUGAAUGUUAUUAAACUAUAAUAUUGAUUAAACUCC
rnacentral:sRNA from 1 species